AUGAGCACCAUUGCCUGGUGAACUUCAACAACAGCCUCCAGAUGACAGGAAGGUUGUCCCCAACCCAGGGGCUCAGAGAAGUAAGGCGGGUUGUCUGAGGUCACGUGCCUCCUGAAGAGAGCCAAGAUCACCUCCCAGGUCCUGGCUAUGGGGUGCAGACUCUCCAUCUCCAUCUGGAUACAUUCCAGAAGGUUUUCCACUUAGAGAAGAUAUCUACUUCUCACAGGAGAGCAGUUCAAAGUCAAGAAAACUCAGGCCCAAAAGGCUAACAACUGAACCAAGGUAAGAGGUGAAGCUAUACUUCCGGCACAGACUAACGCCCCAGAGCCACAGUUCCCACCAUUAUGGCUUUUCCGGGUUUCACCGAGUAGAGGUCAGGCACUUUCCUCCAGUAGCCUGAAGGAAGACUUGUCCGAUUGAGGAAGUCAUAGUAUCACCCACCAAGGUCCUUACUGGACAUUUCGGCUCCUGUACAGAGAUAUUUGACAGGGUCUCCUGUAUCCCAGGCUGGCUUCCGUAGCCACAGAUGGUCUCGAACUUUUGGCUCCAUUUUCUGGAUACUGCGAUCUCAGGCACCUGCCACUUUAUGCAGUGCUGGAAAUCUAUCACAGAGCCCGGGACACAUUAAGCACUCGUCCUAGAGACUGAGCCACAACCCCGGUCAAAAGUGGCAGAGUUGCAUCUUCUCAAGCGUUGGGAAAACUACAGGGAGGCAAGUUGCAGCAGCCAGGUGACAGGCGUAUAUGAAUACGGAUGUCAGCAUGUUGAUAAGGAAAAGUCCUGCCCAACUGCAUGGAAGGUUUCUUCAGGGAGAAGCUGAUUAAAGGGCAGAAGUGGACAUUGAUCUGUGGGGCUUCCAUUUUUGCAAGAAUGUAUCUGUGCCUGGUUGGUUUAAAUUAAAUACUAUCCAAGAAACACUGUCUAAUUGACGCUUAGAGCUGGCUGCAGACAGGGCUGGGGAGAUGCCUCUUGGUGAAGUACUUGCUAGGCGAGCAUGACAGCCUGAAUUUGAGCCUGUGGCGGUUUGAAUGAGAUGUCCUGUAUAGUCUUGGGCACGUGGGUACUCGGUCCCCAUUUGGAAGUGCUGUUUAGGGAGGCAUGGCCUGGUUAGAGGAAGUAUGUCACUGGAGGGGUGUGGGGGGCUAGGCUUUGAGAUUUCAAAGCCUUCUGCCAUUCCAAGUGUGCUCUUUCUGCUUCCUGCUCUCAGUUCAAGAUGUAAGCCCUCAGUGUCGUUUGCUGUCUGAAGAUUUCCACCCUGCUUUCUCACCAUGGAUGACACUUACCCCUCUGGAACGGGAGGCCAAAUAAACCCUCCCUUCUAUAGUUUCCCUUAGCCGUGGCACUUUAUAGUGGCAAUAGAAAAGGGAUAAAUACAGAUCCAAAGAACUCACAUUAAUUAAUAGAUAAAACCAGGCGUGGCAGUGUGAACUUUUACUCUUCCUGCCAGAGGGCAGAGACAGGUGGAUCCCUGGAGCUUCCUGGCCGGCCAGCCUAGUCUACUCCAGAUCAAUGAGAAUCCCUGUCUGAAAGAUAGAUAAAUGAUAGACAGACAGACAGACAGACAGACAGACAAAUGGCUCCUGAAGAGCUGAGGAAUGACACUAUAUUGGUUCUGGUCCCUGUACCCAUAUGCACACAUGCACAUCCACACACACAAAGAAAAACUAGAACUGGCUACAUUUGAUACAGUACCACCCUCUUCCCUAGCCAUGUGCAUUCCCACAUCCCACUGACACUCUAGUCUUGAUCUAGAAAGAAAGCAGGAUAUUUUAGAAAGGGGACUAGGUAUGGGAAGGAAAGGCCUUCUAGGAAGCCCUGGGUCUUAGGAGCCGAUUUUCUAGGCAGGGAAAGUUGUGGUAAACUUGAGAGGGAUUUGGGGAAUAUUUGAUAGGCUCUUCAGGCCCUCGUGACCUAGAGGAAGACUCCUUCCAGCUCUGAUUCCCCAAAAGUGAGACACUCUGGAAGCAUUGUCAGGGCCCUCGGGCAUUCCCACACUAGGCAGGAAGGCCUCCAGGUAGUGCUUCUCAACCCCACAGGAAUGAAGCUGGCACAGGUCACAGUGUACCCUGUGUGGGCCAGCAGCCAGCCACUACUGUGUCAGACCUGAGAGACUGUAUUAAACAGCCGAGGAAUCUUGAGAGCCACUGGAGCAUCCAGUCACCACAUGCGCCAUGAUGUAGAUCUAUCUAGCCAAUGUUAUUUAGGCCUCAAACAUCAAAAUAAUGAUGAGAGAGAAUGUGAGAGUUCCCUCGGCUCCUUCUAGCCUGGGAACAUGGGAAGCUGUCUGACAGGGCAUGAACCUUAGAGUGUCAUAGCAGGAACAACAAGUCCAAGGUGCAGGUGAAACUUAUUUACCAGACCAGGGCAAACAAGAGAGUCUUAAUAAAGAAUAAACACUGUGGGGGCCGGUGCAGUGACUUAGCAGACACGAGCACUUGUUCUUGUAGAAGACCUGAGUUUGGUUCCCAGGACCCACGUGGUGACUCACGACCAACUGUAACCCCUCCAGUAUGAGGGGAUCGACACCUUCUUCUGACCUACAAGGGCACCAAAUAUACUGUACUGCCUGGGUUUGUGUGUCAACUUGACACAGGCUGGAGUUACCACAGAGAAA
rnacentral:sRNA from 1 species